rnacentral:rRNA from 3 species
UUAAGUUAUUAAGGGCGCACGGUGGAUGCCUUGGCACUAGAAGCCGAUGAAGGACGUUACUAACGACGAUAUGCUUUGGGGAGCUGUAAGUAAGCUUUGAUCCAGAGAUUUCCGAAUGGGGAAACCCAGCAUGAGUUAUGUCAUGUUAUCGAUAUGUGAAUACAUAGCAUAUCAGAAGGCACACCCGGAGAACUGAAACAUCUUAGUACCCGGAGGAAGAGAAAGAAAAUUCGAUUCCCUUAGUAGCGGCGAGCGAAACGGGAAGAGCCCAAACCAACAAGCUUGCUUGUUGGGGUUGUAGGACACUCUAUACGGAGUUACAAAAGACGACAUUAGACGAAUCAUCUGGAAAGAUGAAUCAAAGAAGGUAAUAAUCCUGUAGUCGAAAAUGUUGUCUCUCUUGAGUGGAUCCUGAGUACGACGGAGCACGUGAAAUUCCGUCGGAAUCUGGGAGGACCAUCUCCUAAGGCUAAAUACUCUCUAGUGACCGAUAGUGAACCAGUACCGUGAGGGAAAGGUGAAAAGCACCCCGGAAGGGGAGUGAAAUAGAACCUGAAACCGUGUGCUUACAAGUAGUCAGAGCCCGUUAAUGGGUGAUGGCGUGCCUUUUGUAGAAUGAACCGGCGAGUUACGAUUUGAUGCAAGGUUAAGCAGUAAAUGUGGAGCCGUAGCGAAAGCGAGUCUGAAUAGGGCGUUUAGUAUUUGGUCGUAGACCCGAAACCAGGUGAUCUACCCUUGGUCAGGUUGAAGUUCAGGUAACACUGAAUGGAGGACCGAACCGACUUACGUUGAAAAGUGAGCGGAUGAACUGAGGGUAGCGGAGAAAUUCCAAUCGAACCUGGAGAUAGCUGGUUCUCUCCGAAAUAGCUUUAGGGCUAGCCUCAAGUGAUGAUUAUUGGAGGUAGAGCACUGUUUGGACGAGGGGCCCCUCUCGGGUUACCGAAUUCAGACAAACUCCGAAUGCCAAUUAAUUUAACUUGGGAGUCAGAACAUGGGUGAUAAGGUCCGUGUUCGAAAGGGAAACAGCCCAGACCACCAGCUAAGGUCCCAAAAUAUAUGUUAAGUGGAAAAGGAUGUGGCGUUGCCCAGACAACUAGGAUGUUGGCUUAGAAGCAGCCAUCAUUUAAAGAGUGCGUAAUAGCUCACUAGUCGAGUGACACUGCGCCGAAAAUGUACCGGGGCUAAACAUAUUACCGAAGCUGUGGAUUGUCCUUUGGACAAUGGUAGGAGAGCGUUCUAAGGGCGUUGAAGCAUGAUCGUAAGGACAUGUGGAGCGCUUAGAAGUGAGAAUGCCGGUGUGAGUAGCGAAAGACGGGUGAGAAUCCCGUCCACCGAUUGACUAAGGUUUCCAGAGGAAGGCUCGUCCGCUCUGGGUUAGUCGGGUCCUAAGCUGAGGCCGACAGGCGUAGGCGAUGGAUAACAGGUUGAUAUUCCUGUACCACCUAUAAUCGUUUUAAUCGAUGGGGGGACGCAGUAGGAUAGGCGAAGCGUGCGAUUGGAUUGCACGUCUAAGCAGUAAGGCUGAGUAUUAGGCAAAUCCGGUACUCAUUAAGGCUGAGCUGUGAUGGGGAGAAGACAUUGUGUCUUCGAGUCGUUGAUUUCACACUGCCGAGAAAAGCCUCUAGAUAGAAAAUAGGUGCCCGUACCGCAAACCGACACAGGUAGUCAAGAUGAGAAUUCUAAGGUGAGCGAGCGAACUCUCGUUAAGGAACUCGGCAAAAUGACCCCGUAACUUCGGGAGAAGGGGUGCUCUUUAGGGUUAACGCCCAGAAGAGCCGCAGUGAAUAGGCCCAAGCGACUGUUUAUCAAAAACACAGGUCUCUGCUAAACCGUAAGGUGAUGUAUAGGGGCUGACGCCUGCCCGGUGCUGGAAGGUUAAGAGGAGUGGUUAGCUUCUGCGAAGCUACGAAUCGAAGCCCCAGUAAACGGCGGCCGUAACUAUAACGGUCCUAAGGUAGCGAAAUUCCUUGUCGGGUAAGUUCCGACCCGCACGAAAGGCGUAACGAUUUGGGCACUGUCUCAACGAGAGACUCGGUGAAAUCAUAGUACCUGUGAAGAUGCAGGUUACCCGCGACAGGACGGAAAGACCCCGUGGAGCUUUACUGUAGCCUGAUAUUGAAAUUCGGCACAGCUUGUACAGGAUAGGUAGGAGCCUUUGAAACGUGAGCGCUAGCUUACGUGGAGGCGCUGGUGGGAUACUACCCUAGCUGUGUUGGCUUUCUAACCCGCACCACUUAUCGUGGUGGGAGACAGUGUCAGGCGGGCAGUUUGACUGGGGCGGUCGCCUCCUAAAAGGUAACGGAGGCGCUCAAAGGUUCCCUCAGAAUGGUUGGAAAUCAUUCAUAGAGUGUAAAGGCAUAAGGGAGCUUGACUGCGAGACCUACAAGUCGAGCAGGGUCGAAAGACGGACUUAGUGAUCCGGUGGUUCCGCAUGGAAGGGCCAUCGCUCAACGGAUAAAAGCUACCCCGGGGAUAACAGGCUUAUCUCCCCCAAGAGUUCACAUCGACGGGGAGGUUUGGCACCUCGAUGUCGGCUCAUCGCAUCCUGGGGCUGUAGUCGGUCCCAAGGGUUGGGCUGUUCGCCCAUUAAAGCGGUACGCGAGCUGGGUUCAGAACGUCGUGAGACAGUUCGGUCCCUAUCCGUCGUGGGCGUAGGAAAUUUGAGAGGAGCUGUCCUUAGUACGAGAGGACCGGGAUGGACAUACCUCUGGUGUACCAGUUGUCGUGCCAACGGCAUAGCUGGGUAGCUAUGUGUGGACGGGAUAAGUGCUGAAAGCAUCUAAGCAUGAAGCCCCCCUCAAGAUGAGAUUUCCCAACUUCGGUUAUAAGAUCCCUCAAAGAUGAUGAGGUUAAUAGGUUCGAGGUGGAAGCAUGGUGACAUGUGGAGCUGACGAAUACUAAUCGAUCGAAGACUUAAUCAA